AUUGAACGCUGGCGGCAGGCUUAACACAUGCAAGUCGAGCGGAGAUGAGGUGCUUGCACCUUAUCUUAGCGGCGGUCGGGUGAGUAAUGCUUAGGAAUCUGCCUAUUAGUGGGGGACAACAUUCCGAAAGGAAUGCUAAUACCGCAUACGUCCUACGGGAGAAAGCAGGGGAUCUUCGGACCUUGCGCUAACAGAUGAGCCUAAGUCGGAUUAGCUAGUUGGUGGGGUAAAGGCCUACCAAGGCGACGAUCUGUAGCGGGUCUGAGAGGAUGAUCCGCCACACUGGGACUGAGACACGGCCCAGACUCCUACGGGAGGCAGCAGUGGGGAAUAUUGGACAAUGGGGGGAACCCUGAUCCAGCCAUGCCGCGUGUGUGAAGAAGGCCUUAUGGUUGUAAAGCACUUUAAGCGAGGAGGAGGCUACUGAGACUAAUACUCUUGGAUAGUGGACGUUACUCGCAGAAUAAGCACCGGCUAACUCUGUGCCAGCCGCCGCAGUAAAAC
rnacentral:rRNA from 1 species